CUUUUGUGCAUCACCGCGUGGGUUCCCUUCGAGUCAAUUAUAUUGAUCCGGAAAAGGGGCUUGCGUUUUACAUAUGAACCCCAUUGUAAAAUGUCUUUUUGCUUUUUUAUUGCAAUCAAUACAACUUUCAACAACGGAUCUCUUGGCUCUCGCAUCGAUGAAGAACGCAUCGAAAUGCGAUAUGUAAUGUGAAUUGCAGAAUUCAGUGAAUCAUUGAAUCUUUGAACGCACCUUGCGCCCCUUGGCAUUCCGAGGGGCACACCCGUUUGAGUGUCGUGAAAUCCUCAACCUUCUUUGUUUCUUUGAACCAAGAAGGCUUGGAAUUUGGAGGCUUCUGCUGGCCUCUUUYUUGAAGCCAGCUCCUCUUAAAUGGAUUAGCAGGUUCUGCUUAGCCAGAUCUCUUGACGUGAUAAGCCAUUUCUACGUCCUGGGUUGGGCUCUGUCUCUUGCUUACAAUUGUCUCUUUUAGAGACAUACAAUACACCCUUGACCUCAAA
rnacentral:rRNA from 1 species